rnacentral:rRNA from 1 species
GUGCCAGCAGCCGCGGUAAUACGUAGGGGGCAAGCGUUGUCCGGAAUUAUUGGGCGUAAAGCGCGCGCAGGCGGUUAAUUAAGUUGGGUGUUUAAGCCCGGGGCUCAACCCCGGUUCGCAUCCAAAACUGGUUGACUUGAGUGUAGGAGAGGAAAGUGGAAUUCCACGUGUAGCGGUGAAAUGCGUAGAGAUGUGGAGGAACACCAGUGGCGAAGGCGACUUUCUGGCCUAUAACUGACGCUGAGGCGCGAAAGCGUGGGGAGCAAACAGGAUUAGAAACCCGCGUAGUCC